rnacentral:rRNA from 1 species
GACGAACGCUGGCGGCGUGCUUAACACAUGCAAGUCGAACGGAAAGGCCCUGCUUUUGUGGGGUGCUCGAGUGGCGAACGGGUGAGUAACACGUGAGUAACCUGCCCUUGACUUUGGGAUAACUUCAGGAAACUGGGGCUAAUACCGGAUAGGAGCUCCUGCUGCAUGGUGGGGGUUGGAAAGUCUCGGAGGUUGGGGAUGGACUCGCGGCUUAUCAGCUUGUUGGUGGGGUAGUGGCUUACCAAGGCUUUGACGGGUAGCCGGCCUGAGAGGGUGACCGGCCACAUGGGGACUGAGAUACGGCCCAGACUCCUACGGGAGGCAGCAGUGGGGAAUAUUGCACAAUGGGCGGAAGCCUGAUGCAGCAACGCCGCGGGCGGGAUGACGGCCUUCGGGUUGUAAACCGCUUUCGCCUGUGACGAAGCGUGAGUGACGGUAAUGGGUAAAGAAGCACCGGCUAACUACGUG